rnacentral:rRNA from 1 species
ACGGGAGGCAGCAGUGGGGAAUAUUGGACAAUGGGGGAAACCCUGAUCCAGCGACGCCGCGUGAGUGAAGAAGUAUUUCGGUAUGUAAAGCUCUAUCAGCAGGGAAGAUAAUGACGGUACCUGACUAAGAAGCCCCGGCUAACUACGUGCCAGCAGCCGCGGUAAUACGUAGGGGGCAAGCGUUAUCCGGAUUUACUGGGUGUAAAGGGAGCGUAGACGGAAGGCCAAGUCUGAUGUGAAAACCCAGGGCUCAACCCUGGGACUGCAUUGGAAACUGGUCAUCUAGAGUGCAGGAGGGGUAAGCGGAAUUCCUAGUGUAGCGGUGAAAUGCGCAGAUAUUAGGAGGAACACCAGUGGCGAAGGCGGCUUACUGGACUGUAACUGACGUUGAGGCACGAAAGCGUGGGGAGCAAACAGGAUUAGAUACCCUGGUA